AUUGAACGCUGGCGGCAGGCCUAACACAUGCAAGUCGAACGAGUGGCGGACGGGUGAGUAAUGUCUGGGAAACUGCCUGAUGGAGGGGGAUAACUACUGGACACGGUAGCUAAUACCGCAUACCAUCGGAUGUGCCCAGAUGGGAUUAGCUAGUAGGUGGGGUAAAGGCUCACCUAGGCGACGAUCCCUAGCUGGUCUGAGAGGAUGACCAGCCACACUGUAACGGAGACACGGUCCAGACUCCUACGGGAGGCAGCAGAGGGGAAUAGUGUACAAGGGGCGCAAGCCUGAUGCAGCCCUGCCGCGUGUAUGAAGAAGGCAUGCGGGUUGGAAAGUACUUUCAGCGGGGAGGCGUUACCCGAAGAAGAAGCACCGGCUAACUCCGUGCCAGCAGCCGCGGUAAUUC
rnacentral:rRNA from 1 species